GCUUGAUAACAGUCACAACAACACGUGCAGACUGAUUUAACAAAUUCUGCAGAUGACAGAAUAAGGGAUGUUUGGACCGUUACAUUCAGCCAACAGAAGCAUGUGGACAGACAUUGACUGUAAUGAUGGACAUCUGCUGAUGCACAGGCAGAAAUAUAACCCCUGCUGGACAUUGUGCUGGAGCUCGGGGGGACACCAUGAUCCCCCACGCCUUCUCAGUCACACCAGACCAUUCACUCAUAUCACGGAGAUCUGGCUGGACUCGAACCAGCAACCUCUGAAACCGUGAGGCAGCACUCUUACCACUGAGCCACAGAUCUCUUGCCUGAACAUGUGCAGGAACUUAUAUUUCACUAUUAACCCUGUCAUUUUACAAUAAACCAG
rnacentral:lncRNA from 1 species